rnacentral:rRNA from 1 species
AGGAUUAACGCUGGCGGCGUGCAUGAGACAUGCAAGUCGAACGGACACUCAGGGCUUGCUCUGAGUGUUAGUGGCGGACGGCUGAGUAACGCGUAGGUGACCUGCCCCGAAGUGGGGAAUAACUGCCCGAAAGGGUGGCUAAUACCGCAUGUGGUGAUGCGUUCAUUUCGCAUCAGUAAAAGCCGCAAGGCGUCGUUUGGGAGGGGCCUGCGUCCGAUUAGCUCGUUGGUGAGGUAACGGCUCAACCGAAGGCCGACGACGGGUA